rnacentral:lncRNA from 1 species
GUAAAGGAGUAUGCCAAUUUGGAUUAAAGUUAUUCUUAGUAUUAAGGAGAAAUGAUACUUCUUUGCUCCUUCAAAAUUUUUAAUUUCCUGAUUGGGACUUGCCAGGACCUGAAUGUGUCUAGUCUUGUGUAAGGAUUAUUAACCAUUCUGAGAAGGCUAGUUACUUUUUAAUCACCUGAAAACCUUUCUAUCACUAAAUAGGUGGAGAAUACAGUAGCAAGACAGAGAGAUCUCCAGGGCACGAUCUGCUGGGAACUUGCUGAGUUGACUGGGAUUAAGAAAUGUGUUUUAAAUCACCCUCCUCUUCUAGCAGGAAAAGUAUACUAACAAGUAUGGAGCAAAUGUCAGGUAACAGCUAACAGAUAUACCUGUUGAAGUUUCACAAUUGGCUAAUAAAAACAACUUGUUUGCAGAUAGUUUGUCUACAUGAGAAUAGUCCUGUUUGCUCUAUUGUGUAAACAUAGAAAUGUUUAUUUAAAUCCAACUGAUAAUUCAACACAUCAUGAAGGUGAAUACUUUUUGUUUGGGGGAAAGCACAAUAGGAAAAAAAUGAAAUUCAUUAAAAAUGUAAAAAUGUUGAUGUCAUUAUGGCUUUUAAACCCAGGCUGCAUGCCUUAUCCAUGGCUGUCAUUUGACAAAGUCUGAACCUUCAUCAACUCCUCCUUUUGGUACAAGUCAUUCCCAGCUGGUCACCCAUGCCGUCAUUUCUACUUCCAAGUAGCUCUGAAGCUGGGCUGCUUUUGAUUACUUCCAUUAUUACUACUUUAAUUCAGAAUCUUAGUAACUUGCUCUAAGCAUAGCCUUCCUGUUUUUCUGCCUUCAUUUCUCUCUGAAGCCAUCCUUCACUUUGAUUCUUGUUUCCUGCAGAAAGAACCCUUUUGCCUCACCUAGCAUUUUUCUGUUCCGAUUUGUGAGAGGUAGAGGGAAGUGAGACUCAGAAAAAAAAAAAAAAAAAAAAAAAAAAAAAAAAACAAAUAGGCUGUGGUGGAGCAGUCAAGUUAGAGAUGAGGCAAGAAGGUCCAUAUAUUAAAGUGAUAAAAAGUGAAUUUAUCACCUAUCCGUCUAUUGUUAUAUUUAUAAAGAUGUUUUAUAUUGUCUUUUUCCUUUCUGCACUAAAAAUGUACAAAAAACAUUAGUGAUCAUGUGUGGUGACUAUAUGGUACUCUCUGCACACAGGCCCCUAGCAUACAUAUGAGGAGCAAAGAUACUGCUGAAGAUCUUUGAAGGUUUGAUACAAUCAUUCAGAGAGGUUCUGUUCCAUUCUUCCAUUGGGGUUUUUUGAAACACAUCACUUGUUGAAAUCAUCACUUUGAAAGUAUACAUCAGUUAACUUUCUGAAAAUAUACUUUUUCUUUUAUUUUCUUGGUACAGAGGGUCAAUAUAUAUGAGACUUUGGUAUUAGGAGUUGGAUGUAAAGUAGUUUAUCUACUUCCAGCACUUAACUAGUUAUAGAACCUCUAUUUCUCAUUCAGUUUGGCAGUAUCACAUAAUUAUUUCACCUACCUCUCCAGACUCAUUUGAUCCUCAUAUAGUCCUAUACUCUUCCCUUCAGUCUCCACAGAUAUUGCUUCCUCUCUUUAGAACAUUUUCUCAUAGUCCAACUGUAACCUAACCGUCCUUCAAGACUUAACUUAUAUGACACCUUCUACAGCAAACCUUAUUUGACUCCUAAUUGAAGUUAACUGCCAUUUAUUCAUUCCCAUAUGAUCCUAUUCUUCUGUCAUAAUGCAUCUUAUGCAAUUGUUAUUGAUGUCUUCCCAACAAGACCAACAGCCCUGUAAGAACAAAGCUCCUUUUUUUUUUUCUCUUGUUUGCCACUCUAUAAUUAGCGCCUAACCAAGCCCCCAGGAAUGUAAGAGGUACUCAGUGGAUCUUUGUGAAAUGAUACCUACAAGUGAGAUUUGUUAUUUGUCAGGAGUGACAUAUGCAAAAUUUCACUGGGUAGUGUUGUAUAACAACAGCCAUCCAUGUGCUAGGCAUUCACAAAUACCUGUUCAAAAGUCAUUGAAUGAAUGAUGUGGUAAGAAGAAUGUGAAAGCCCCUUUCUCCAAAAUAGUUCUUUCCAGAACUUGAAUUCUUGAAUUAUAUUGUUCAUGAUGUUGUUAAUUUCCCAUCACAGCAGCCAGAAGCUGGAAGAAUAGAAUAUAAAACAAUAGAGAUCUGCAUCCUUUCCAGUUUGAAGAAAGGUCUUUGAGAGCCAGGAAAAAUAAAAUAAGACGAUCUCAGGAAUGAAAGCGCGCUGGGAAAGAAGGGAGAAAAGGAGAAAGUCCAAAGCCACCCAACUCUCUAGCUCUACUCAUUUUGACCCCUGUUGUGGCAAGUGAGGGAUUCUUUUCCUUCAGUUCUCAGGAAACAUUUUGUUAAAGCUUUUAUAGCAAGGAGCUUAAAAACAAAGAAGAUAUAUGCAAUUCAAUAAAAUGAAACCCAGUGUUUAAUUACUAAAUAUCCUACCUCUAAAAUUAAAGAAAAAAAGCUUAAAUAAUUCAGUUUGAUUUGGUCUCAUUAGUCUGAUUUCCUAGUAUUUAGCCUUAAUUAUGUGAUACAUAAGCCCUAAUUAUGUGGUACAUAUACAGUGUGCUCUCUAAAGUUAAAGAUCAGAACGGAUACUGACUUAAAUGAUAAAAUAUGUUAAAUUAUUAAUGAUAAUUAAUCUUACAAAAUAGGCAUAAUUAGUUUAAGUACUUUAGAUAUUAUUCUUAAUAGCAUUACAAAUAAUAUGACACAGUUAGAUCAUUUUAAAAAUAAUUUAUUGGAAAGAAAGGCUACACAAGCAGUGUUUUGUACUCAGGAGGGCUAACCAAUUGCUUGGUGCUGUCAAAAUAUAUCUAGCUGUCCUUGUUGAUAAGGUGAGUUCCCUUUAACCCAUUAAAUUCUAUGUCCUAUAUUAAAUGGGAAUAUUACUUUUAAAGAAUGCUUUUUCACAGAUGAAAUAAUCUUUAUAUUAAUAUUAACUAUGCCAUGAGGGUUUUUUUUUAAAGUUCUUUUGUUCAAUGCAUCCUGAUUAUUGUGUCAUAAAUUGUUUAGCACCUGUUCAAUUUUGUUUUGCCAUUUGCUUUUUUAUUAUUAUGGAUUGUUUAUAUCUUCUACUGAGGUCAAUUUAAAAUUUACUUAUUUAGUUUUGAUACCAUAGACUAAAGUGUUUUGUUCUCACUGUUUCCUAACUCUGAAUAAAUCUGUCAUUAUCAUUUAAAUCUAACACUAGGUUAAAUUUCUAUAGCAAUAUGAAAGGAACAGUUUGCUGUUAAAGCAAAGUUUUGAAAUGAAUGAAUUUUGAAUGGUACCACCAUGGAGGCAGAGAUUUUAUUCAUCUUUUCUACCUAUGGUUUAGUAAUAAAGAAUAAGAUCAUAAACUACAUGACAAAAAUCAUACUAUUUGCCCUGUAGGUUUUACUACUGUUUCCCAGACGAGGCUCAAAAUAUCCUGGCUAAAUAUAACUGAGGAAAGCUCAUAAUCAAGCUGCAAAGUAUUUUCUUAUAAUGUAGUUCAAGCAAAUGUCCAGAAACAUGGUUUCAUAGAAUAAGAUCUUGGGUGGUAAAAUCAGUCCCCCAUUUACAAAUGACUGUUGAGCCUUAAUGUAAUAAAUUUCAUAGUAGUUAAAAGGACAUAGAGAAUGCUAAGCAGUGUUCUUUUUUUCUUUUCCUUUUUGAGCAUCUGUCGCUAGAGUCAUAAAAAAUAGUUUGUAAUAUUAGGCUUUUGUUCAAAUGAUAUCUUUCUUCAAUAUUUCAAUAAAAAGUGCAUUUUCCCAGAGAACUUAUUCAUAAUUUAAUAUGAAAACUACUAUCAACAAAGUUUGGAGCACACAUUUUCCCAAAAUUCAGGCUCCCUAAUUAGACGUAAAGAAGCAUUUUUUUUUUAAAUACUAGCUCUCAUAUGACUGAAUAAAUAACCUGUGAGGAAAACAGGAAAUGGCUACCCCAGCUAGGGAAGGCUGGCUGAAGUGGGGACAGUCAAGGAAAGGGAAUGUCCACAAUCAUAGCAUUCUACCUAGAGGGCUGCAAACACAACAGGGUUGAAACAGUCAUUCUCAUAUAUUUUUUUAAAGCAACAGUAGUAAAUUUUCUUCAGAUGAGAUUUAGCAUAGAACUUCAGCAUAUAAAACAGAUAAAACCAAUGUUAAGUCAAUGAGAACAAUGAAGGUACUUCACCAAAAAAUGUAAAAGUUGAUAUCAUGGAGGGCAAUCAAUACCCACCAAUGUUAGCAUUCAGGUAAUAUCUCUUAUUUUGUUUCUGUACCAUUUCAAAAAAAUCCACCCAGAAAUAGAGUAAAACAUAUUUUAUUUAUUCUACAGAUGCCCAUGUUUUAUGCUGUUCUUCAAUCAACUAUGACAGUGUCAACAUAUGAAAUUUUUGUUUGAGGGGUACAAUGAAGCUAUUUUGAUCCAGAACCAUAUUAAAAUGUUUAUUCCUGUGAUUUUGUUUCAUGUUAUUUAAUUGUGAUCUCUAUAUUUAUGUGAUGUGAUUGAUUUCACAUAAAAAUCCUUACAAACUAUUGCGUAUUUCAUAUUGCUUGUGAUACUAUGAAUUAUCUCAUGGCUUUAUGAAAUCUCUGAUGAGAAAUUCCAGUUUAUACUUUGUACCAAGAUGCACAGUGGUACAGAGCCUAAGAAAACAAGUCUUGUGAAUAUUAUGAACUAUUUAGGUGCCAAGUAUUAACUAUUUAUUUUUGCUGUAAAACCUUGAACCACCAAAUAUGGUCAAGACUUACAAGUGUGUGUCUUUCUACCAUAAACUUGUAACAUCAUAGCAGUCUUCUUUUUUUUUUUUUUUUCACUUCGGGCUCUUUGUGUAUGUUUCUGAAUUUUUAAAUAUUAUUGUACAAUGUCAUAUUAAAUAUUAUUUGAAAAAAAUAAAGAUUAUAGCUACAUAGAGAGUGCUUAGUUUAUAACAAUAUUUUGAUCAUUCCUCUACUGUCUUUCCCACUUUUGAAGAAUAAAGCCACACCUAAUUCCGCACUUGUAACAUCAUACCUAGGACAAUGUCUGCACUUUAGAGGGUAAUCAACAGAUGAUUGUCAAAGUAAUGAACAGGCUAACAAUUCUAUAGUAUAAUUCUAUAUAUUCAUUUUAAACUAUAGACUAACAAAAAUAUGUGAUAAAGCCUUUUAGUUACAUGAAUCAUUUUGCUCUGCAGACUUGUUUCCAUCCCAAGAAGUUGCAGACAUCUAAGCAUCUCUAUGCUAUUUAAUAACUGUACUGAUACAAGCUGUAAUCUUUGCACUUGCUAUUUUUAUCCUAGAAUGUUCCCUCCUAUUUUGUCAAUUUUAAUUAAAGCGUCACUUUCUCUCUGAAGGAUUUCUG